CAGAGACACACAGAGAGAAGACUGAGUGACAAACAAAACAGAGAUCGGGUCAUGUGUCUCCAAGCCAAGAAAUGCCAAUGAUUGCUGGCAGCCACCAGAAUUUAGGAGAGAGACGUGGAGCGGAUAUCUCUCAGAGCCUCCAGAGCAAUAACUCUCAGGUAGUUCUCCUUGCCUUCUGAUGACCUCUCCUCCCAUCCCUGGCCACUGUCGCAUGCUUUCAGGGAUGGGUCAGUGCUGAGCAGAGAGCUCGGUCAUAGAAGAGGCACAAACAUCUGGAGAGGGAUUCUGAGACAGGAAAUUGAUGAUGGUCAUUUAAACCACUGGAUGCUUGCAGAAAUCUCAGGGAGGUCACAGACCCUCCCCCAGACAUGGAGUCAUGGACUCAAAGCACAGAGAGGUUCCUGUUGCCACCUGGGUGACAUUCACACAGUCUCACUGCGUCCCCUCUGCUGGGGUCAGAGAGGCCUGCACUCAGAGGGAGGAAGCUGAGAUUCUGUAGGGGGACCAGUCCAGCCAUGGGAUCAAUCUGCACCCAAGACUCCUGCGCCGUAGCAAGGACUCUGCCUCCACAUCAGCACGCUGGCUUAUUUAUAUUUUUCCCAGCCUUAUCUUGCUGUUUGCUUGUCUGGAUUUCUGCAUUUUUCCCUCUGCACCUGCUCAUCCGGCUCUACACUGAUCACUCCACGCUAGUCAAGAAAAUGGAACUUGGAGAGGUUGCGCAGCUCGACUACAGAUGUGCUGGAACCAAAGAGCACCCGAGAAGGACACAAAGUGUGAUACCUCCACGACGUUAG
rnacentral:lncRNA from 1 species